rnacentral:rRNA from 1 species
UGGGGAAUUUUGGACAAUGGGCGAAAGCCUGAUCCAGCAAUGCCGCGUGUGUGAAGAAGGCCUUCGGGUUGUAAAGCACUUUUGUCCGGAAAGAAAUCCUUGGCUCUAAUACAGUCGGGGGAUGACGGUACCGGAAGAAUAAGCACCGGCUAACUACGUGCCAGCAGCCGCGGUAAUACGUAGGGUGCAAGCGUUAAUCGGAAUUACUGGGCGUAAAGCGUGCGCAGGCGGUUUGCUAAGACCGAUGUGAAAUCCCCGGGCUCAACCUGGGAACUGCAUUGGUGACUGGCAGGCUAGAGUAUGGCAGAGGGGGGUAGAAUUCCACGUGUAGCAGUGAAUGCGUAGAGAUGUGGAGGAAUACCGAUGGCGAAGGCAGCCCCCUGGGCCAAUACUGACGCUCAUGCACGAAAGCGUGGGGAGCAAACAGGAUUAGAUACCCUGGUAGUCCACGCCCUAAACGAUGUCAACUAGUUGUUGGGGAUUCAUUUCCUUAGUAACGUAGCUAACGCGUGAAGUUGACCGCCUGGGGAGUACGGUCGCAAGAUU